rnacentral:lncRNA from 1 species
AUAUAUAUAUACACAUAUAUAAAUAUAUAUAUAUAUAUAUAUAUAUAUAUAUAUAUAAAUAAUAUAUCAAGAUAGAUUUCCUGUUUCAACACAAGAAAGAUAAUAGCCAGCGUUAUAAGACUGGCAUAGAAACAACGUUUACACGAGCAAUUGAAAUAAGAACCAACCAUGAGACUGCUAAUAAGUCUCGCGAUAAUCUCGCUGGUAGUGAUGGUAUGUUGCAGUCAUCCCAUGGAAAUGAGAAAAAAGAAAGACGGCGAUGAGAAGGCAAUGCCACUCAAUACUGACAGAAACAGCCACGCAGAGAAAAGAGCCAAAGAGGUGUUGAUGUUUGGCAACCAACAGAACUCGCCCAGAGUGAAAAAAUCCGACCCCAAACCAGAUAAGGAGGUGCCUCUUACUGGCCUGAAUAGUGACGAAGACAGCAAGGAAC